GGCCUAAAUCCGAAGUAAGCUAGAAUGGUAAGGUCAGCUGAUUCUACUAUUCUAAUGUACUUCAAAAUUGGUCUC
rnacentral:pre_miRNA from 1 species